GACGAACGCUGGCGGCGUGCUUAACACAUGCAAGUCCAACGGAAAGGCCUCUUUCGGGGGGUACUCGAGUGGCGAACGGGUGAGUAACACGUGAGUAACCUGCCCUUGACUUUGGGAUAACUUCAGGAAACUGGGGCUAAUACCGGAUAGGAGCUCCUGCUGCAUGGUGGGGGUUGGAAAGUUUCGGCGGUUGGGGAUGGACUCGCGGCUUAUCAGCUUGUUGGUGGGGUAGUGGCUUACCAAGGCUUUGACGGGUAGCCGGCCUGAGAGGGUGACCGGCCACAUUGGGACUGAGAUACGGCCCAGACUCCUACGGGAGGCAGCAGUGGGGAAUAUUGCACAAUGGGUGGAAGCCUGAUGCAGCAACGCCGUGUGCGGGAUGACGGCCUUCGGGUUGUAAACCGCUUUCGCUCAUGACGAAGCUUUGUGUGACGGUAGUGGGUAAAGAAGCACCGGCUAACUACGUG
rnacentral:rRNA from 1 species